AUGGCGCUUGGCCAGACCGCUGACCCAGUGUCACGGGAGGGACCGGGGGAUUGGAGGUAUUUUUCUGUGUGGAUUUCAGGGAAAGAUUUUCCAAUCCCACUGAAGACUUUUGAACUCUUCUUCACCCAGAUUCCUGUAAAAGUGUCCUUCAUCUUGCUCUUGUUGAAUUUUGGACUUUUUGGAUCAAGGAUGUAUUUCGAUGCCAAGUGA
rnacentral:lncRNA from 1 species